GAUGAACGCUGGCGGCGUGCCUAACACAUGCAAGUCGAGCGAGGGUUUGCUCAGUAUUGAGUAUUCUAAGUCUAGAAUGUUCAAUUCUGAGCAAAACCAAGCGGCGGACGGGUGAGUAACGCGUGGGUAACCUGCCCUAUACACAUGGAUAACAUACUGAAAAGUUUACUAAUACAUGAUAAUAUAUAUUUGCGGCAUCGCAGAUAUAUCAAAGUGUUAGCGGUAUAGGAUGGACCCGCGUCUGAUUAGCUAGUUGGUGAGAUAACUGCCCACCAAGGCGACGAUCAGUAGCCGACCUGAGAGGGUGAUCGGCCACAUUGGAACUGAGACACGGUCCAAACUCCUACGGGAGGCAGCAGUGGGGAAUAUUGCACAAUGGGCGAAAGCCUGAUGCAGCAACGCCGCGUGAACGAUGAAGGUCUUCGGAUCGUAAAGUUCUGUUGCAGGGGAAGAUAAUGACGGUACCCUGUGAGGAAGCCCCGGCUAACUACGUGCCAGCAGCCGCGGUAAUACGUAGGGGGCUAGCGUUAUCCGGAUUUACUGGGCGUAAAGGGUGCGUAGGUGGUCCUUCAAGUCGGUGGUUAAAGGCUACUGCUCAACCGUAGUAAGCCGCCGAAACUGGAGGACUUGAGUGCAGGGAGAGGAAAGUUGGAAUUUCCCAGUGUAGCGGUGAAAUGCGUAGAUAUUGGGAUGAACACCAGUAGCGAAUGCGGCUUUUCUGGACUGCAACUGACACUGAGGCAUAAUGCUUGGGUAGCAAACUGU
rnacentral:rRNA from 1 species